rnacentral:antisense_RNA from 1 species
UCUUUUUGCCAUCAAAAGUCCUUUUUGGGGUUCAUUUUCGUCCCUUCACACUGCAUGCAGGAUUUGAAAGGCUAAGUGUAGACACUAAACAGGUGUCUGAAAUAACAAUUCAUUUCUCUCUCCCCCAAGGGAAAUCAAGUGUUGCCGGAAUGUUCUAACUCAGACUUAAACUAUCUGAAGAUCAGUGCACGCAUCUCUUCUGUGCACAGCAUAACGUUCCAUCUCAGCUGGUGGGAGAUGAAUGGGAGCUCAGAUGGUGAGCUUUGGGGUGAAAUUUCCCAACUUUGAGAUUAUCCCUACCUACCAACGCACUACAAUCUGGGUAGGACCCAGCAGGGCGUGGAGCCAGGCAACGCAUGGUGUAGGAAUCCCAGCCAGGCAACAGCUCCCGGAGUCUGGUAGCCCCUCCUCGUGCCCUCAGCUUCCCCAAGGAUGCCUUCGGAUGCCCAGCUCAGAAGCACACAGCCUCAUCACUAGCCUCAUCACUAA